rnacentral:rRNA from 1 species
GACGAACGCUGGCGGCGUGCUUAACACAUGCAAGUCGAACGGAAAGGCCCCUUUGGGGGUACUCGAGUGGCGAACGGGUGAGUAACACGUGAGUAACCUGCCCUUGACUUCGGGAUAACUUCAGGAAACUGGGGCUAAUACCGGAUAGGAAUCCUUGCUGCCUGGAGGGGGUUGGAAAGCUUCGGCGGUUUUGGAUGGACUCGCGGCUUAUCAGCCUGUUGGUGGGGUAGUGGCUUACCAAGGCUUUGACGGGUAGCCGGCCUGAGGGGGCGACCGGCCACAUUGGGGCUGAGAUACGGCCCAGGCCCCUACCGGAGGCAGCAGUGGGGAAUAUUGCCCAAUGGGAGGGAGCCUGAUGCAGCAACGCCGCGUGCGGGAUGACGGCCUUCGGGUUGUAAACCGGUUUCAGCAGGGGCGAAGCUUGUGGUGACGGUACCUGCAGAAGAAGCACCGGCUAACUACGUG